rnacentral:rRNA from 1 species
CUUGAAUAAAAUAAGAGGUCCAGCCUGCCCAGUGAAAUUAUUCAACGGCCGCGGUAUCCUAACCGUGCGAAGGUAGCGUAAUCACUUGUUCUUUAAAUGAGGACUAGUAUGAAUGGCACCACGAGGGUUCUACUGUCUCCUUUUUUAAAUCAGUGAAACUAAUCUCCCCGUGAAGAAGCGGGGAUUUUUUUAUAAGACGAGAAGACCCUAUGGAGCUUUAAACAAACAUCAUUUGCUGCACAUAACUCUUUUUCCUUCAUUAAAUAUAGCAUUAUGACCUUUAGUUUUUGAUUGGGGUGAUCACGGAGUAAAAUGAAACCUCCACGCCGAAAGGGUUUAUACCCUGAGCAAAAAGCCACAACUUUAAGCACUAAAAAAUUAACGUAAUUUGACCCAAUAUUUUGAUCAACGAAC